UACGUAGGCAGCAAGCGUUGUUCGGAGUUACUGGGCGUAAAGGGUGUGUAGGCGGUUCUUUAAGUUUGCUGCGAAAUCUCCCGGCUUAACCGGGAGGGUGCGGUGAACACUGAGGGACUAGAGUACGGGAGAGGAAAGUGGAAUUCCUGGUGUAGCGGUGAAAUGCGUAGAUAUCAGGAGGAACACCGGUGGUGUAGACGGCUUUCUGGACCGUAACUGACGCUGAAACACGAAAGCGUGGGUAGCAAACAGG
rnacentral:rRNA from 1 species